AAUUGGAUUAGCCCUUAAGCUUUACAUGCGUCAGGUGAAGGUUCUGGAAAGGACCGCGAAACAGGGUGAUAGCCCCGUAGCCGACAGCGCAUGUUCAGUGAAAUCGAGUAGGGCGGGACACGUGUUAUCCUGUCUGAAUAUGGGGGGACCAUCCUCCAAGGCUAAAUACUCCUGACUGACCGAUAGUGAACCAGUACCGUGAGGGAAAGGCGAAAAGAACCCCUGUGAGGGGAGUGAAAUAGAACCUGAAACCGUGUACGUACAAGCAGUAGGAGCCUCCUUUGUGGGGUGACUGCGUACCUUUUGUAUAAUGGGUCAGCGACUUAUAUUCAGUGGCAAGGUUAACCAUAUAGGGGAGCCGUAGGGAAACCGAGUCUUAACUGGGCGUUCAGUCUCUGGAUAUAGACCCGAAACYSGGUGAUCUAGCCAUGGGCAGGUUGAAGGUUGRGUAACAYYAACUGGAGGACCGAACCGACUAAUGUUGAAAAAUUAGCGGAUGACUUGUGGCUAGGGGUGAAAGGCCAAUCAAACUCGGAGAUAGCUGGUUCUCCCCGAAAGCUAUUUAGGUAGCGCCUCGGACGAAUACUACUGGGGGUAGAGCACUGUUAAGGCUAGGGGGUCAUCCCGACUUACCAACCCUUUGCAAACUCCGAAUACCAGUAAGUAAUAUCCGGGAGACACACGGCGGGUGCUAACGUCCGUCGUGRAGAGGGAAACAACCCWGACCGCCAKCUAAGGUCCCWAAGUYAUGGYUAAGUGGGAAASGAUGUGGGAAGGCCCAGACAGCCAGGAUGUUGGCUUAGAAGCAGCCAUCAUUUAAAGAAAGCGUAAUAGCUCACUGGUCGAGUCGGCCUGCGCGGAAGAUGUAACGGGGCUAAACCAUGCACCGAAGCUGCGGCAGCGACGCUGAUGCGUUGUUGGGUAGGGGAGCGUUCUGUAAGCCUGUGAAGGUGUGCUGUGAGGCAUGCUGGAGGUAUCAGAAGUGCGAAUGCUGACAUAAGU
rnacentral:rRNA from 1 species